rnacentral:rRNA from 1 species
GUGCAGCAGGCGCGAAUACUUUACAAUGUGCGAAAGCACGAUAAGGGAACUCUGAGUGCCUCCUAAGGAGGCUGUUCUGAUGUCUAAAAGCAACAGAAGUAAGGGCUGGGUAAGACCGGUGCCAGCCGCCGCGGUAACACCGGCAGCCCAAGUGGUAGCCACGUUUAUUGGGUCUAAAGCGUUCGUAGCCGGCCAGGUAAGUUCCUUGGUAAAUUUAGCCGCUUAACGGUUAAGCUUUCAGGGAAUACUGCUUGGCUUGGGACUGGGAGAGGUCAGAGGUACUCCGGGGGUAGGGUGAAAUCUAUUAAUCCCUGGGGGACCACUGGUAGCGAAGGCGUCUGACCAGACCAGGUCCGACGGUGAGGGACGAAGGCUAGGGGCGCGAACCGGAUUAGAUACCCGUGUAGU